rnacentral:misc_RNA from 1 species
AAAGAACAGAGAGAAAUUACUGAAGCAUGAGCGCGGAGCUGAAGAGGGACUACGAGAUCGGCGAGGAGAUCGGGCGCGGCCGCUUCGGGGUGGUCCACCGCUGCACGUCCCGCGCCACCGGGGAGGCCUACGCCGUCAAGUCCGUGGACCGGUCGCGGCUGGGCGACGACCUGGACCGCGAGCUCGCGCAGCUGGAGCCGAAGCUGGCACAGCUCGCCGGCGCGGGCAACCCGGGCGUGGUGCAGGUGCACGCGGCGUACGAGGACGAGGCGUGGACGCACGUGGUCAUGGACCUGUGCCCGGGCCCGGACCUGCUGGAGUGGGUGGGCCGCCGCCGCGGCGCGCCCGUGCCGGAGCCCGUGGCCGCCGCCAUCGUCGCGCAGGUCGCGCAGGCGCUCGCGCUCUGCCACCGCCGCGGCGUCGCCCACCGCGACGUGAAGCCCGAGAACAUCCUCAUCGACGCCGCCGCCGGGAGCGACGACGACGAGGAGGACGAGGCCGAGGCGGCGCCGCGCGCGCGCCUGGCGGACUUCGGGUCGGCGGCGUGGGUGGGCGCCGGUGGGCUCGGGCGCGCCGAGGGCCUUGUGGGGACGCCCCACUACGUGGCGCCCGAGGUGGUGGCCGGCGGCGAGUACGGCGCCAAGGCGGACGUGUGGAGCGCCGGCGUGGUGAUGUACGCGCUGCUCUCCGGCGGCGCGCUCCCCUUCGGCGGCGACAGCGCCGCGGAGGUGCUGGCGGCCGUGCUGCGCGGCAGCGCGCGCUUCCCGCCCAGGCUCUUCGGCGGGGUGUCGCCCGCCGCCAAGGACCUGAUGCGGCGCAUGAUCUGCCGCGACGAGUGGAGGAGGUUCACCGCCGAGCAAGUCCUCGCUCACCCGUGGAUCGUGAGUGGCGGAGGAGCCCGGGCAAUGGAGCGGCCAACCUGAGGAGGAAUCCAGACGGACGUGUAUUGCCGUAGAGCACUCAGGCACGGCAAGGAAUCCCGGACGUUAUGUAUGAGGUUUUUGUACGUACGUACGUAGUAGUGUACGGUAGCUGCUGCCAGCUGCAGAGCAGAUCGAUCGGCAAAAGAAGCUUUAUAGGCUUGUGGUUUUCCUUUGCCCCCGGGUUUUUGGGGACGCUCUUUACCUAGCGGAGCAGAGAGCACCCGUUUUCCGAUGUGCUGGUUUUCCUAGCUGGAUGUACAUACACUGACCGUCUUUUGUACAGAUGGAGUGUGGUGUUGGAUACAUAAAUAAAAAAAAACCAAGCCUUUGUACUCC